CGUUGAAACCCCAAUUCUCGUACGAUCAUCAAAGUUAAGCAACAUAGAGCCUGGUAAGUACGGAGAUGGGUGAUCGCUUGUGAAUACCAGGUGCUGUAAG